UACGGAAGGGGCUAGCGUUGUUCGGAAUUACUGGGCGUAAAGCGCACGUAGGCGGCCUUGUAAGUUAGAGGUGAAAGCCCAGGGCUCAACCCUGGAAUUGCCUUUAAGACUGCAUCGCUUGAACACGGGAGAGGUGAGUGGAAUUCCGAGUGUAGAGGUGAAAUUCGUAGAUAUUCGGAAGAACACCAGUGGCGAAGGCGGCUCACUGGACCGUUGUUGACGCUGAGGUGCGAAAGCGUGGGGAGCAAACAGG
rnacentral:rRNA from 1 species